rnacentral:misc_RNA from 1 species
AACGCACGAGACCUGCGGACCUGCGGAGGGAUCAUUACCGAGUUAUCCAACUCCCAACCCCUGUGAAUUAUACCUUUAAUUGUUGCUUCGGCGGGACCUCGCGCCCGCCGGGGACCCAAACCUUCUGAAUUUUUUAAUAAGUAUCUUCUGAGUGGUUAAAAAAAUGAAUCAAAACUUUUAACAAUGGAUCUCU